CACCUCUGUCCCCUCCCUCAAUGUCACAACUCCUAUUCCUCCUUCAGAUCUCAGCUCAGGCAGAAGUUUCUCAGUGAAGUUCUCUCUGACCCUCUCUCAUCCCCAGACCAGACUGCUGGGACACAUUCUCCGGUGGAGGAAUCUCCAACUGCAAAUCCCUCAGCAGUGGCCAUGUCUAUUCUGCAGUUGCUCAGAGUGUCUCCCUCAGCCACUGGCUUCUUGUUAUCUACUCCCCUCUGCUGGUGUCAUGUUGAGUGUCUCCUUGCAGUCCGCAUGCGCGGAAACCAGAGCCUCCAGAAGCAACAGGGCCCUGUGAACCCAUCUUUAGCCUUCAGGAGGAAGGAGCUGUGAGCGAAUACAGAUAAUAAGUAAAGGUGAUGACUAUGGAAUAAAGAAGGUAGAAGGUGACACAUACAACGUCUGGAAAACUUCAGGAAAACACCCUUCCUUCCUCUCCUUGCCCCCUCCUCCACCUGGAGAC